rnacentral:rRNA from 1 species
GACGAGCGAACGGACGAGAAGCUUGCUUCUCUGAAUGUUAGCGGCGGACGGGUGAGUAACACGUGGAUAACCUACCUAUAAGACUGGGAUAACUUCGGGAAACCGGAGCUAAUACCGGAUAAUAUUUUGAACCGCAUGGUUCAAAAGUGAAAGACGGUCUUGCUGUCACUUAUAGAUGGAUCCGCGCUGCAUUAGCUAGUUGGUAAGGUAACGGCUUACCAAGGCAACGAUGCAUAGCCGACCUGAGAGGGUGAUCGGCCACACUGGAACUGAGACACGGUCCAGACUCCUACGGGAGGCAGCAGUAGGGAAUCUUCCGCAAUGGGCGAAAGCCUGACGGAGCGACGCCGCGUGAGUGAUGAAGGUCUUCGGAUCGUAAAACUCUGUUAUUAGGGAAGAACAUAUGUGUAAGUAACUGUGCACAUCUUGACGGUACCUAAUCAGAAAGCCACGGCUAACUACGUGCCAGCAGCCGCGGUAAUACGUAGGUGGCAAGCGUUAUCCGGAAUUAUUGGGCGUAAAGCGCGCGUAGGCGGUUUUUUAAGUCUGAUGUGAAAGCCCACGGCUCAACCGUGGAGGGUCAUUGGAAACUGGAAAACUUGAGUGCAGAAGAGGAAAGUGGAAUUCCAUGUGUAGCGGUGAAAUGCGCAGAGAUAUGGAGGAACACCAGUGGCGAAGGCGACUUUCUGGUCUGUAACUGACGCUGAUGUGCGAAA